rnacentral:rRNA from 1 species
AUUGAACGCUGGCGGCAUGCCUUACACAUGCAAGUCGAACGGUAACAGGUCUUCGGAUGCUGACGAGUGGCGAACGGGUGAGUAAUACAUCGGAACGUGCCUAGUAGUGGGGGAUAACUACUCGAAAGAGUGGCUAAUACAGCAUGAGAUCUAAGGAUGAAAGCAGGGGAUCGCAAGACCUUGUGCUACUAGAGCGGCCGAUGGCAGAUUAGGUAGUGGGUGGGAUAAAAGCUUACCAAGCCGACGAUCUGUAGCUGGUCUGAGAGGACGAUCAGCCACACUGGGACUGAGACACGGCCCAGACUCCUACGGGAGGCAGCAGUGGGGAAUUUUGGACAAUGGGCGCAAGCCUGAUCCAGCAAUGCCGCGUGCAGGAUGAAGGCCUUCGGGUUGUAAACUGCUUUUGUACGGAACGAAAAGCCCCGGGUUAAUACCCUGGGGUCAUGACGGUACCGUAAGAAUAAGCACCGGCUAACUACGUGCCAGCAGCCGCAGUAA